CAGCCGCCGCGGUAAUUCGUAGGGUGCGAGCGUUAAUCGGAAUUACUGGGCGUAAAGCGUGCGCAGGCGGUUCGCUAAGUCUGAUGUGAAAGCCCCGGGCUCAACCUGGGAACUGCAUUGGAAACUGGCGAGCUUGAGUGUGGCAGAGGGGGGUGGAAUUCCACGUGUAGCAGUGAAAUGCGUAGAGAUGUGGAGGAACACCGAUGGCGAAGGCAGCUCCCUGGGCUAACACUGACGCUCAGGCACGAAAGCGUGGGGAGCAAACAGGAUUAGAUACCCUGGUAGUCCACGCCCUAAACUAUGUCAACUGGGUGUUGGGGAAGCGAUUCCUCAGUACCGUAGCUAACGCGUGAAGUUGACCGCCUGGGG
rnacentral:rRNA from 1 species